rnacentral:misc_RNA from 1 species
GGAUUUUUUUUGUAGAGAGAGAGAGAGAGAAGUAUAAAUUGAUUUCUCAUCCCCUUUCCUAUAAAUAUUUAAAAUAACUCCAACCAUUAAAAUUUUAAAAGUAUAAAUUUUGUGAAAACCUAAAUGUUUAUAUAUUUAAAUAAAUAUUUGAUGAUUUUUUUUAAACUUGGCAAGUAUUUAAUUAGAUGAAAACUGCAUUUUUUGUUAAUAAUCUGUUAUAAAUUUGGCUAUAAGAAAUCCAUAUGAGUUUAUUAUAAUUCUGCUUUACUUUGUCAAAAGUAUAAAUUGAUUAUAUUUCUGCUUUAAUUUGUCAGAGGUAUAAACAUUCAACACCACUACAA